UACGGGGGGAGCAAGCGUUGUUCGGAUUUACUGGGCGUAAAGGGCGCGUAGGCGGCCACCGCAAGUCGGUUGUGAAAUCUCUGGGCUUAACCCAGAAAGGUCAACCGAUACUGCGGGGCUAGAGUGCAGAAGGGGCAACUGGAAUUCUCGGUGUAGCGGUGAAAUGCGUAGAUAUCGAGAGGAACACCUGCGGCGAAGGCGGGUUGCUGGGCUGACACUGACGCUGAAGCGCGAAAGCUAGGGUAGCGAACGGG
rnacentral:rRNA from 1 species